CAUGUUUCAUGUGAAGCUUCAUGACCUGCUUAAUGUGAUAAAUCAUGAAGAUAAAGUUAUCAGAAGUUCCCGACACAUCACAGACACAUAAAUGCAGUAGGAUACGACAGGAAGGAAGACGUAGAGUUGAUGAUAAGUGAAAGAGAAAGGAGAUUGGGAUGAGUAAGAGUGAGAAAGUCAAGGCCAGUGGAGAAUAAUUGGUGAAAGAAACAGGUAGGAAGCGAAAUGAAGAAGGAGGGAGAGGGAAAAAAGACACAAAAGCCUGAUUGCAGGUAGUUGGCUUACCGUUGUCUCUUUAUUGUAAUGUCAGUAUCUGCAGGUUUCUGCUACUGAGGUCAUGCAGCAAGAUGACAGUUAAAAGCCCCUCGGGAGGAAGCUGGGGGAUAGAAAAACUACCAGUCACUUAUGAGCUCAGCCUUCAGCGUCUCAAUACUCACAUACUCGCACACAGCAGAUAGACUCUUUUGGUUCUCAGACUAUAAACGACCAUGUGCUGCGGGUGACAGAGAGGUGAACUGCUCAUUUGGGCUGGAACACGUGCAGCCUCCCUCUUCUUCAGCUACUCACGCGCUGUUCCUCAAAGAUGCCCUGAAAGACACCCGUCUCCCACGCUCGGUUCAGCCACCACACCGCGAUUUUCCCUCGCUGUCGUCUCCACCGAGCGAGCGCGCGUGGAGGGAGGGCUUGGCAACCGGGUGUCAUGGAAACUGAGCCGUGUGUAUUACGUCAUUAGUCUGAGUUGCGAGUCUUCUCUUUUCUUUGCCGCUCGCAAAUAAGGAGCAUCACGCACAUGCCUCACAACAGCAGGUUCUACAGCUCAAAACUUAACCGGAGAACUUGAUUAUGUUUCUUAAUUUCAUUCACAUGUAAAAGAUAUGACGUGUACAUUUGUUUUUGUCCCACCCCCUCCUCUCCUCUUUCCUCCUCUGACUGAAGUUGAGUAACGCUACAGGUGCUGUUGUGUCUGUCUAUCUUCUUUCUGCUGUUCUCUCUUUACUCUUCUGCUUUAAUUUAUUGUGCUGUUUUCCUAAGGCUUCUGUUGCCACUGUUGCUGACAACAUCAUUUCCUUUUUUGUAAUAUUUAUCCUUCUAAUUUUUGUUAAGUUUAGUCACAGCUAAUGUAACAAAACACACUGUGAUGAUUCCAGUAUUAAUAAAAGUUGUACUUAAACUGUGUGUGAGGAGAAG
ensembl:lncRNA